rnacentral:misc_RNA from 1 species
UCCAGCUUAAAGCCGGCAGUCUCCGGUGAGAAAAUACAACACCGGAUGAGGGUUUCGCUCGUUUACGGACUUAACCGUACAUCUCACGACACGAGCUGACGACGACCGUGCAACACCUGUCUUAGGGUUCCUUGCGGCACUCCCCUGUUUCCAGGGGAUUCCCUAGAUGUCAAGCCUGGGUGAGGUGCCCCGCUUGUCGUCGAAUUAAACCACAUGCUCCACCGCUUGUGCGAGCCCCCGUCAAUUCCUUUGAGUUUUAGUCUUGCGACCGUACUUCCCAGGCGGCACACUUAACGCGUUAGCUUCGGCACAAGAAGGGUCGAUACUUCCAAUGCCUAGUGUGCAUCGUUUACGGCGUGGACUAC